CAAUAGCGUAUACUAAUGUUGUUGCAGUUAAAAAGCUCGUAGUUGAACUUCUGGUAGGAGUGUCCCGGCCUUUUUGUUUUUACAAAUUGUAUGCUGUGUGACAUCUCUGGCCAUCCUUCUUCUUUGUUUAAAGAAGAUCUUUCACUGUAAAAAAAUUAGGGUGUUCAAAGCAAAAGUUUCUUUGGAAUAUAUUAGUAUGGGAUGAUAAGAUAGGCUCUAGAUGCUAUUUUGUUGGUUUGCACAUUUAGAGAAUGAUUAACAGGGACAGUUGGGGGUAUUCGUAUUUACAUGUCAGAGGUGAAAUUCUUGGAUUUUGGAAAGACGAACUACUGCGAAAGCAUUUACCAAGGAUGUUUNCAUUAA
rnacentral:rRNA from 1 species